UACGAAGGGAGCUAGCGUUGUUCGGAAUCACUGGGCGUAAAGCGCACGUAGGCGGAUUUGUCAGUCGGGGGUGAAAUUGCGAGGCUCAACCUCGGAACUGCCUCCGAUACAGCAAAUCUCGAGUCCGGGAGAGGUGGGUGGAAGUCCUAGUGUAGAGGUGAAAUUCGUAGAUAUUAGGAAGAACACCAGUGGCGAAGGCGGCCCACUGGACCGGUACUGACGCUGAGGUGCGAAAGCGUGGGGAGCAAACAGG
rnacentral:rRNA from 1 species